rnacentral:misc_RNA from 1 species
GAAAUGCGAUAAGUAAUGUGAAUUGCAGAAUUCCAUGAAUCAUCGAAUCUUUGAACGCACAUUGCGCCCUCUGGUAUUCCGGGGGGCAUGCCUGUCCGAGCGUCAUUGCGAACCCCUCAAGCACGGCUUGUGUGAUGGGCCCUCCCGCGUCUUGGUCGUCAAGACGGGCCCGAAAAGCAGUGGCGGCUUCGCGGUUAUCCGAUCAGCCAGAGCGUAUGGGGACUUUCUCUCUGUCACACGCCCGCGGCGCGGACCGAUGCCUGUCGACCUUUAUUCAUCUUUUUCUCGGUUGACCUCGGAUCAGGUAGGGAUACCCGCUGAACUUAAGC